GGCAAGAUGGCCGAGCGGUCUAAGGCGCUGUGUUCAGGUCCUUCCUCCGGAAUACCUUCGCAGUGGAGCAAUCCGCGCGAGUUCGAAUCUCGUUCUUGUCA
rnacentral:tRNA from 1 species